GAUGAACGCUGGCGGCGUGCCUAAUACAUGCAAGUCGAGCGAACAGACGAGGAGCUUGCUUCUCUGACGUUAGCGGCGGACGGGUGAGUAACACGUGGAUAACCUACCUAUAAGACUGGGAUAACUUCGGGAAACCGGAGCUAAUACCGGAUGAUAUAUUGAACCGCAUGGUUCAAUAGUGAAAGACGGUUUUGCUGUCACUUAUAGAUGGAUCCGCGCUGCAUUAGCUAGUUGGUAAGGUAACGGCUUACCAAGGCAACGAUGCGUAGCCGACCUGAGAGGGUGAUCGGCCACACUGGAACUGAGACACGGUCCAGACUCCUACGGGAGGCAGCAGUAGGGAAUCUUCCGCAAUGGGCGAAAGCUUGACGGAGCAACGCCGCGUGAGUGAUGAAGGUCUUCGGAUCGUAAAACUCUGUUAUUAGGGAAGAACAAAUGUGUAAGUAACUAUGCACGUCUUGACGGUACCUAAUCAGAAAGCCACGGCUAACUACGUG
rnacentral:rRNA from 1 species